rnacentral:rRNA from 1 species
CCUACGGGAGGCAGCAGUGGGGAAUAUUGGGCAAUGGGCGAAAGCCUGAUGGAGCAACGCCGCGUGGGUGAAGAAGGUCUUCGGAUCGUAAAACCCUGUUGUUAGAGAAGAAAGUGCGUGAGAGUACCUGUUCACGUUUCGACGGUAUCUAACCAGAAAGCCACGGCUAACUACGUGCCAGCAGCCGCGGUAAUACGUAGGUGGCAAGCGUUAUCCGGAUUUAUUGGGCGUAAAGGGAACGCAGGCGGUCUUUUAAGUCUGAUGUGAAAGCCGUCGGCUUAACCGGAGUAGUGCAUUGGAAACUGGGAGACGUGAGUGCAGAAGAGGAGAGUGGAACUCCAUGUGUAGCGGUGAAAUGCGUAGAUAUAUGGAAGAACACCAGUGGCGAAAGCGGCUCUCUGGUCUGUAACUGACGCUGAGGUUCGAAAGCGUGGGUAGCAAACAGGAUUAGAUACCCCUGUAGUC